AUUGAACGCUGGCGGCAGGCUUAACACAUGCAAGUCGAGCGAGCGGCGGACGGGUGAGUAAUGUCUGGGAACCUGCCUGAUGGAGGGGGAUAACUCCUGGAAACGGUAGCUAAUACCGCAUACUAUCAGAGGUGCCCAUGUGUGAUGAGAUAGUUGGCGGGGUAAUGGCUCACCUAGGCGACGAUCCAGAGCUGGUCUGAGAGGAUGACCAGCAACACGGGAACUUAGACACGGUCCAGACUCCUACGGGAGGAAGAGGGGGGGAAUAUUGAACAAUGGGAGCAAGCCUGAUGCAGCCAUGACGCGUGGCUGAAGAAGGCCUUCGGGUUGUAAAGCACUUUCAGCGAGGAGGCGUUACUCGCAGAAGAAGCACCGGCUAACUCCGUGCCAGCAGCCGCGGUAAUUC
rnacentral:rRNA from 1 species